ensembl:lncRNA
CCUGCAGCCCAACGGUGGCGCUCAUUGGCCCGGGCCUCGCCGUUGGCCACGCCCCUAGGGGGAGCUAGUCCAAAUGGGGAGGGUCACAUCCUCCCUGCGGCCUCGCCCCGGCGUCUCUGCGCCGUCUGGCCGCGCUGGCUGGUUACGGCAGAGGCCGCGGGGGACCCUCGCCAUGCCACCGGUGGUCGUCCUGCGGGGUUACAGAGGCCGCGACAAAGGAUGUAGCAGAGAGUGUAAGGGGAGGUUGCCUUUGCAUCCCGGAAGGUUUCCUGUUCUUUUGAGACAAAGAAACUGAGGCAACAGUUAAAGCAGGGAAGCGCCUGACAAAGUUCAAGUUUCCUGUAUUUUAAGCCUCUUCAAACCCUGUUGGAAUGGAAAAGGGCAUUUCUAGGAGACCUGACUCCGAGAUCAUCCCCAGUUUCCCCAGUUAAGAAGAGGCAGGAAGCCAGGGGUCCCCAUGUGAUUCAUAUGCGCAUUACGGUUUGAGAAGCAAUUACAAAAAGAAUAAUGAUUCUUGGUACCUGGGAGUUGCUAGGACCAGCCAACUGCCUGACUUCCCUCUGUCGCCUAAAUGCAAGAAGGAAGACUAUGGACAGUGCGGGCAUCCAGGACCUGGCACAAGAUGAAGGGAUGAGGAGACGCAGCCUACCAUGAAAUCCAAGACUACCCCCUCCCUCUACCGCGUCCACCUCAUCUGGGUCCUUUCUUCUUCAUUUGUCCUUUUCCAUAGCAGAUUCAGUACUUCUCUCACCACUGUCUCCUUUCCUUCUGCCUUCAAACAUCCACAAGUUUCCUUUUGUUCUGUCUCUUCUAUCUACUACACAGUCCUUGAGAUAGUGAUCUACACCCAUUACCUUCCUUCCUCUCCAUCACCUCUCCUUGACUCAGAAAUAUGUUGCGCCGUAUCCACACCUGCCAAAAUCCCUGCCACCUCCUAGCUCCAAACCCCAGCCUUUGCUCUGCUCUGUUCUUCCUGAGGCCUCUGCAGUUGACAAUGCCCAUAGACCUCUUUCUCAAGGUUGUCUUCUCUGCUGACAUCUGUGUCCACUCCCUCUCCAGUCCCACAGGAGUUUUCUUCCCUCGUUCCUCUUCCUCCUCUCCCACUCCCAGGGUUUGUCUGUCUGUCACUCUCUUUCACUCUCCACAUCUCCCUUGGGAGUCUCAUCUAAUCCAUUGCCUUCCUACCACCUCCAUCUCCUGGUUCAUAGUUCUAAAUGCCAGCUGCAUUUAACAUGUAACAUAUUUAAACCAAAAUUUUUCAACUCACUCCCACCCCAAGUAGCUGCUUUCUAAUGACUUUCAACAACUUGAGCUGCAUCUCUAAGAUACUUUGAAGCUUCAGGCCUGGCAUCCUUUGAAUCCUUCAACUUCCACACUGCGUCAUUAAAUCCUUCAGAAUGUCUCCCAAAUUGGUGCCUCUUUUCAGUUCCCACCACAGCUACAUUUCCUGGAUUGUUGUGUCCCUCCAUCAUCACUGCUCUGUGCAAACACCUCAGAGGUCCCCUGCUGCAUGUAGAUCGAAGCCCAGCCAUGCAGACUUCCUCCAAGCUGGUUCCCUCCCAUCCUUCCCCGUUGCAGAACAUCCCUCCCUUGUCUCCAUCCUGACCUUCCAUCUCA